GGGCCCGCACAAGCGGUGGAGCAUGUGGUUUAAUUCGAUGAUACGCGAGGAACCUUACCAGGGCUUAAAUGCAGGCUGCAUGGGGUGGAGACAUCCCUUUCUUCGGACCGCCUGCAAGGUGCUGCAUGGUUGUCGUCAGCUCGUGCCGUGAGGUGUCAGGUUAAGUCCUAUAACGAGCGCAACCCCUACCGUUAGUUGCCAGCGAGUGAAGUCGGGGACUCUAACGGGACUGCCGGUGCAAACCGUGAGGAAGGUGGGGACGACGUCAAAUCAUCACGGCCCUUACGUCCUGGGCCACACACGUGCUACAAUGGCCGGUACAGAGGGAAGCCACCCCGCAAGGGGGCGCGGAUCUACAAAACCGGUCACAGUUCGGAUCGGGGUCUGCAACUCGACCCCGUGAAGCUGGAAUCGCUAGUAAUCGG
rnacentral:rRNA from 1 species